rnacentral:lncRNA from 1 species
CAUGAAUCAUUGGACAAUGUUUGCGACGUGAAACGAGGCUAGGUACGACCUAUUUCUAUUGAAUUAGCCUAAUGUUUAUCAGAAUCGCUAGUUGUAAUAGAUGCAAGGGAGAAGAAGGCUAAGCUGCCCCUCCGUUGUCUCGCACACCAAGGCAAAAAGAGAUUCAACAGUCGGCUGGGGAACCGGAAUCUAAGCAUACCAAGACUCAGGAUAAGGAAGGGUAAGGCAUCUAAGAAUAAGGCAGGUAGACCCAUACUCAGGCAAGAAAGAAAGUCUCUUACAGAAAAGGCAGGAAGAAGAGGCCCUCGCUCUACAGGAAACCUAAUAGAAUGGGCUACUUCUUAAGGUGGAAUGGACCACUUAUCAUAGAAGAAUCUUUCUUACAUCGAUUACUGACUAUACGGACAGGGCAAGUCAAAGCAAAGCCGAUGCACCUGAUACGACUAAAAAAGAGAGCAAUGGUCCGAAACCCCAAGCAAUUAGACAAGGCAAGUCAAAGCAAAUCCGAUGCACCUGAUACGACUAAAAAAGAGAGCAAUGGUCCGAAACCCCAAGCAAUUGACCAGGNNNNNNNNNNNNNNNNNNNNNNNNNNNNNNNNNNNNCCAAGCAAUUGACCAGGAGAGGAUCAUCGGGAAUGGACUAAGGGCCUACCAACCCUUUCUUAAUCUAAGGCAUCUACCCCUGGCAGAAAAGAAGACGGAAAGAAAGCCGAUUGAUACCUUAGCUUUGAACCAGCUUCUUCAAUCCUGCUGCUCUUCUCCCUCUAUAUAGCGCGGGUAGCUUGCUUCCAAGCCACUGGCCGGAACCAGAUAAGGAACAAGAGAGAGAAGCAGCUCAAUUUCAAAGGUUAGGCGCGAUAGCCACUCGUGCAGAAGGAGAUGUUUGGGAGAAAUGCCCCGUCUCAUGGUGCUUUUGUUAGAAGUUCCCCCUCUCAGGUAUAUUUUACUGUGGUAACCCUGAUGGAAAAGAUUGUUGUCCCCCUCUCUGUUGGUUCUCUCAGACUAGCAUCAACUGAUGUUAAGGUUAACCCAAUAGUAAGGUUUCAUUGCUUCCGAAAUCCUGGUGAUGGAUGUGGAGAGGUGUGUGAACAGAAAGAUUCAUGAUGUACAACAAAGCCGCUCCAUGUAGGAAUUCAAGUACCAACAAGAGUUUGGUCCUAUAUAUUUCGGGUAUGUUGGACCUUCAUUGCCUGCUGAUCUAUCCAAUGAUUUUCUGAUGGGAUAGUUCUGUCGUUGUGACCACAAUAUCGCAUUACCAUGGCGGCUGCCUUGUUGGGAAAGUGGUUGAUAGGAUUCAUUGCCUGCUGAUCUAUCAAAUGAUUUUCUGAUGGGAUAGUUCUGCCGUUGUGACCACAAUAUCGCAUUACCAUGGCGGCUACCUUGUUGGGAAAGUGGUUGAUAGGAACUUAAGACCGGGGCACUCAGAGUUGUUGAUGGUUCAACCUUUACUGUGUCACCGGGCACCAAUCCGCAGGCUACUCUGUUGAUGCUUGGCCGCUAAGUGCUUUAA